GAUGAACGCUGGCGGCGUGCCUAAUACAUGCAAGUCGAGCGAACAGACGAGGAGCUUGCUCCUCUGACGUUAGCGGCGGACGGGUGAGUAACACGUGGAUAACCUACCUAUAAGACUGGGAUAACUUCGGGAAACCGGAGCUAAUACCAGAUAAUAUAUUGAACCGCAUGGUUCAAUAGUGAAAGACGGUUUUGCUGUCACUUAUAGAUGGAUCCGCGCCGCAUUAGCUAGUUGGUAAGGUAACGGCUUACCAAGGCAACGAUGCGUAGCCGACCUGAGAGGGUGAUCGGCCACACUGGAACUGAGACACGGUCCAGACUCCUACGGGAGGCAGCAGUAGGGAAUCUUCCGCAAUGGGCGAAAGCCUGACGGAGCAACGCCGCGUGAGUGAUGAAGGUCUUCGGAUCGUAAAACUCUGUUAUUAGGGAAGAACAAAUGCGUAAGUAACUAUGCACGUCUUGACGGUACCCAAUCAGAAAGCCACGGCUAACUACGUG
rnacentral:rRNA from 1 species